rnacentral:lncRNA from 1 species
AGCUAGAUAGAUUUAGUGACUUAUGAUUUUUAGGGAAAAACAAAUAAAAAUAAUAGAAAGGGAAUUUUUUAUUGAAAUAUGAAAAGAACAAAAAGGCUAAAUUUAUGGGGGAGAAAGUGUUACAGCAAAAUAUGGAUGGAAUUUGUGUCACUUCAUCCCCUAUUUAUAGUACUAAGAAACCUAGCCUAUUCUUAAUUAAAUUCUAAAAGAUAAAUACAAAUAAAUAAAGAUAAUUAAAGUUAAUUAAAGGUAAAUGAAAAUAAAUCCUAAAAUUAAAUCAAAAUAAUAAUCCUUAAUAAUUAUCCUAAUAUAAUUAAACAUUAAAUAGAGUCUCGUGCUGUAAAAUCUCUUAUUUUGCACUUUUGCCCUUUAUGUCUUUCAUACUUGCAUUUUUGGCACCACCUUUUUCCCUAUGUCGCAUGUUGGCCCAUUGUAUCUUCAAAUUUGCACUUUUUGCCCUUAAAAUUUCUUUUGCCUCCAAUUUAGUCCGUGAAAGAUAAAAGACCAUAAAUAUCUCAAAUUAGUAAGGUCAUACACAAAAUAAACAUGCAAUUAGCACAAAAAAUAUGUCGUUCUAGAGUAUUAUCAGAUGGCUACUUAUACAGAAGAGGAAAUUGUUGAAACGUUGAAAGGAAUGGGGCCUACAAAAGCUUUAGGUCCAGAUAGUUUUCCGACAGUAUUUUACCAAUAGUAUUGACAUAUUAUUGGUAAAAAUACUAGAGUUUUCUAUUUGGAUAUUUUGAAUAAUGGCAAAUCUUUAAAAGAAAUAAACAGAACUCAGUUGGUUUUAAUUCCAAAAAUUGAAAAUCCUCUCAAUUUGAAAAAUUUUCGUCCUAUUAGCCUCUGUACGGUUAUCUAUAAGAUUAUUUCCAAGUCAGUUUCUAACCGUUUACAAAAGGUACUAGAUAUCUAUAUUAAUGACUUUCAAAGUGCUUUUGUGCUGGUAGGCUUAUAACUGACAAUGUGUUGUUGGCGUAUGAGGUACUUCACUCUUUCAAGAACAAAAGAUCAGGGAAAAAAUUAUUUAUGGCUCUAAAGCUGGGUAUGAGCAAGGCUUAAGAUCAAGUGGACUAGCAUUUUCUUAAAAGUAUGAUGUCAAAAUUGGGCUUUGUCGAUCCAUUUAUUUAUUUUAUAUUUCACUGUAUUAUUCGGUCCAUUAUUCAAUUUUACUUAAUUGUGAAGAAGGUUUUAGUUUCAAUCCAUUAAGAGGGCUACGUCAAGGGGAUCCUUUAAGCCCUUACUUAUUUCUGUUCUGUGGAGAAGGGGAUCCUUUAAGCCCUUACUUAUUUCUGUUCUGUGGAGAGGGUUUAUCUGCACUGAUGAGACUUGCAAGCCAGGAAAGGAAAAUUUUAGGAGCAAAGGUAUGUAAAUCUUCCCCACCAAUAACCCACUUCAUGUUUGUAGAUGAUUGUAUACUGUUUGUAAAGGUUUCAGAUAGGGAGAUUAAUGUGAUUAGAGAUAUUCUAAGAGAAUAUGAAUUUUGCUCGGGCCAAUGUGUAAACUUUGAAAAAUCCACGAUUUUUUUUUUCAAUUUGAAUGUGGAUGAUUAGGAUAAGAACUUGGCUUUCCAAGUACUUAAUGUUCGCUGUUUGAUUGAUCUAGAGAAAUAUUUGGGGUUACCGAAUAAGGUGGGUCAAAGAAGGAAAAUGGCUUUCCAAGCCUUGAAGGACAGAUUGAAGCAGAAGAUUAAUAGCUGGAAUAUAAGAUAUAUCUCAUAAUGUGGCAAAGAGGUAUUUAUUAAAGCCGUUUUACAAGCAAUUCCUACAUACACGAUGUCUUAUUUUCUUUUGCCAAAAACUUUUUGUGUGGAGACAGAAUAUAAUAGGGCCCUUUUGGUGGAAAAAAAUCAAGGGAAGAGAGGAAUGCAUUGGUGUGACUAGAAGUCGUUAUGUGCGCUUAAGAAAGAGAGUGGUAUGGGGUUUCGUAAUUUGAAUUUUUUUAAUAUUGCAUUACUGGCCAAAAAGGGUUGGCAUUUGUUACAUAAUCCUAAUUCAUUACUAGCGCGUACUUUGAAGGCCAAGUAUUUUAAGGAUUUAGAUUUUUUAAACUCCAGGUUAGAAAAUUUACCUUCUCUUACCUGGCAGAGUUUAUGGACUGCAAAAGGGCUCCUUCUGAAAGGUUUGGGUUAGAGAAUUGGCAAUGGGAAGAAUGUCUCUAUCUGGGGGGAUGCAUGGGUUCCUAGAGGUUAUGAUUUCAGAGUUCAUAACUUGAAUACUAAUUGGAGUAUAUCAACAGUUGCAGAUUUAAUUGAUGGCAAUACAGGAGAAUAAAAAACCGAACUGAUCUAUAAUACCUUUUUGGAGAAGGAUGCAGAGAGGAUCUUAUGUAUUCCUUUGUUUAUGAAUCUACAUGAGGACCAUUUAAUCUGGCGCGGUAAGCCGACGGGGGAGUAUACGAUUUGUAGCGGGCACAAAUUUCUUUUACGUGAUAGACAGAAUCAAAUACAAUCUAACUACAGACAAUUUUACAAAAGAUUGUGGAGCUUAGAUUUACCCUCAAAAAUUAAAGUUACAAACUGGAGGUUAUCUUGUAACAGUUUGCCUACUUUCUGUAAUAUGCAUUUUAGAAGACUGCUGGGAUCCGCAACUUGUCGAAGGUGUCAGAAUGGAGCGGAAACGAGAGAGCAUUUGUUCAGGGAGGCAAAGGAGACAUGGGAGAAGUUAGUUGUUACCUGGCCUAUUACAGAGGAAAAUACAUAUUUCAAAGGAUGGUUUAAAAAUAUUUUUUAGUCAAACUCUCUGGUUAAGUGCAGGAUGAUAACAUGUGCUUUGUGGGCAAUUUGGACAUCAAGAAACAGAUUCAUUCAUAAAGGAGAAAUAAAAUCGAGUUCUCAAAUUAUAGAUUUGGCGAGUAACUACCUAAAAGAAUUGGAUGGGUUGAAUACAAACUUACCUGCGAGAUAGUUUCAUAUGGGUAGAUGGGUCGCUCCGAAUGGUUUGAGGUUAAAAAUCAAUUUUCAUGCGGCGUUCAACAAGCAAAAAAAUGAGUCAUGCUCUGGGUUAGUGGUACGAAACGAAAAAGCAGAAGUGAUUUGUACAAAAACAGUUAUGCAUGUGAAUAACCAUCUGUUUUUGUAGCAGAAGCGAUGGCGUGUUUUUAGGAGCUCAAUCUUGAGUUAUAUCGCGGGCUGAGGGAGGUUGAGAUUGAAGGUGACUCCCGUUCAGUGAUCCAGAAACUGCAAGAGGAGAAAGAAGAUAGAUUAGAAAUUGAAGUUUUUAUAAAAGAUUCAAAGCAACUGAAUUUAGGUUUUCAGUUAUGCGUUUUUAGGUUUAUUCAUAAAGAAUCUUACAAGGUUGCUCAUCUCAUAGCUAAAGAGAGACUCCAAAAGAGAGAGAUUCUAAAAGAGAGAGACAACUUAUUUGUUGAAUAUCGUUACUUCUGGUGUGGAGGAAGCGGUGGUCGCUGAUCGAAGUUGGACGGUUUCCAUGAGGGAAUGAACCGUCUGGAUUGCUGAAGGAAAGUUUUGGAAAGGGGUUUGAAGAGUUAGGGGGUGUGGUGUUUUUCAAAGAUAUUUUCUGUGGGAAGUGAUAGCUGCUGUUGAAAAUUAAUGAAGAGUAAUGAUGAAGUCUAUGCGGCUUCCUAGGUGCUUUGUUGCUUUUGAGGAAAGGGGUUUUAAUAGAUAACAGCUAGUUGACGAUGGCUCUAGAGCGUCCACUUCUGCAAGUUGGAUCAUUGUGUUUGGGUUGUUUUAAUUUUGUUUUUGUUUUCUUUCUUUUUGGUUUUUGGGCCUGUUUCUAGGUUGAUUAACUGCUAAUGUUUGC